rnacentral:lncRNA from 1 species
AUGGAGCCUGGUCCAGGGCCAGCCAGGGUGCUCAGUCUCGCCCACCCGCGUCACGGUGACCAAUCAGACGUCAGCCGGGCCUCCCCGUCAGAUAAGGAAGUGCACUGUGAUCCCACAAGGGCCCGAGUGCUUCUGCCCCCAAAUCCAUGUGUCGCGAUCCUUCUCCCAGGGGCGGUACUGAGAGGGGCCUUGGAGGUGAUCUGUUGUGAUGCUGGAGUCCCCCUGAAUGGACUUAGCACCUCUGAAAGGGACGUGUGGCGCUCUCUGCUACCCGGGCCUCGGACUCCCAUCCUCCAGGAUGUGACGCAGUCUGUGUUGCUUGAGACCCACCUGGUCCCUGGCCCUUGGUCCCAGUGGCCUGGACGUCCAAGGGCAUCCACUUCCGACCCCAAGAGUGUCCCGUGCAGGACAAGCAAUGACGCAGCAGGAGAAGACACUGCCCAAAGUCAGCCUGACCAAGAGCCAGAGCCUGUGAGCCCUGAGCUGCCGUCCAGGGGGCCCAGAAAGGAAUGCAGGAGGCACCCUGGAGGCGAGAACCCACGUGGACGUCGGUCAGGGUGCCUCUGCAAGGAGUGUCCAGUGCCCUGCAGUGGGCAGCAACAGAGAUGGCAGCUUUGGAGCCACCAAAAAGGCCAGACAAGACACUGGGGGAAGCCACACCUGGUGACGAGCAUUCCCUGGUGGCCGCACAGAAGAGCCGGCGCGGACGAGGGGAGACAGCAACACUCUCUGAAGAACCAACCGGAGUCCCAGGAGGACCCCCGAUCCCUUCCGAGAACGGCACAUCCAAGCCCCCGAGGUCCUGCCGCUCCAAGGUGCACCCCCUUCUAAAUGCCAGCACACAGGGACCACGCGGCCACACACAAGCCUUCAGGGGACAAGCCGCAGCAGAACAGAGCAGGUCCAGCAGGCGCAUGCUGGCUCUCUGGGGCUGUGGCACCCCGGCCCGGUGACGCACACCACCCGUGUCUCCUCAGGGUCUGCAGGCCCGAGCCACGGCAGGCGGUUCCCCUGAGGCUGUGGGGGGACAUCAGCCACUCCCCAGCUUCUGGGGCUGAUGGCUCCCUGGCUGGGGAGGUUGACUGGGGUUCUCCGCCACCUUCACCUGUGAGCGCGUUUGUGCUCCCAUCCCCCCUCCUGUUUUUGGUACUGGGGAUUGAACUUGGGGCACUCAGCCACUGGGCCACAUCCCAGCCCUAUUUUGUAUUUUAUGUAGAGACAGGGUCUCACUGGGGUGCUUAGGGACUCGCUAAAUUGCUGAGGCUGGCUUUGAACUCGCAAUCCUCCUGCCUCAGCCUCCCAAGCUGCUGGGAGGACAGGUGUGCACCCUGUGCCUCCUGAUCCCCCUUCCUAAAGGAUGCCAGUCAUCUGGGAUUAGGGUGCUUCCUGAUGCCUCAUCCUAACCCAAUUUCUAUGAGGACCCUAAUUCCAAAAAGUGGAGGGUGUGGUGGCUGAUGCUCAGACACGUGUGUGUGUGUAAAUGUGUCUGCGUGGGCACACGUGUGUAUAUGUAUCCCCAUGCAUGCAGACACAUGUACAUGUACAACUGUGUGCACCUGUAUGUGGGUGUAUGCACAUAUGUACAUGUGAGUCUGUGUGAGUGUAUGUGCAUAUGUGAGUGAGCAUGUGAAUGUGUGUAUGUAUGUGUGAGCAUGUGUGUAUGUAUGUGUGAGCAUGUGUGUGCAAAUGCAUGUGUAUGUGUGAAAGCGUGUAUAUGCGAGUGGAUAAGUGUGUGUACAUGUGUAUAUGUAUGUUUGUAUGCACAUCUGUCCAUGCACGUACGUGCACAUGUAUGUAUGUGUGAGCACAUAGGUGUAUGUAUGUGUUUGCAUGCAUGUGUGUUCAUGCAUGUGUGGGCACAUAUGUGUGUGUGUGCGUGUGUGGAUGCAUGUGUUCUGGAGCGGCCGGAAGCCAGGGUCCCUGUCCUGACAUCUGCAGAGGAGCCGGGGCUCGGGUAGAAAGGGCACGUGCAGACAGGACAGGCUGGGGGGCCCACAGCUGGGGCAGGAGGAAGGACCCCCCCCCAGUAGAAUGGACUGGCCACACCAGAGAGUGACGUAUGACCCCAUUUUGUGCUGCUUUAGUGAAAUGCUGGGUCUUCGUCAAGGACGAGAGGUUCCGUUAGCUUGGGUUUUAGGGGUUUGAAGGCAUGUCACCAGCACCGUCUAGCUCAGGAGCAGCCUCAGGGCAGAUGGCAUUGCAAAGAGGGCAGGGAGUUUGUGCAUGGACGAGGUCCCACCACAGGACAGGGAGCCAGGGGAGUGGGGCUGGCAGUGAUCUCCCACCAGGCCCCGUCUCUGAAAGAUUCGCCAUGUGGCCACGGUGGGGACCCAGCUCCCGAUAUGUGCCCCUCGCACUAGAGCUGGCCACAGCAGAGAGACAUGCAGAGCGGCUGCAGAGCAGGGGUGUCCGUCAGUCACGGGGCCCUCUGUGGACCUCGGCCAGGGCACGCAGAGUGCCUGACCUCGUGGACGGGGGCGUGGCCCUGGCCCACGUGCAUGCCACCUCUGCUGUGGCUCAUGCCCUGGACAUCACUGGACAAUUAGAAAGGUGAUUCCAGCGACUGACCACUGUGGCUGGAGCGUCCCCGGGCUCCUCACUCUGGCUGAGGUCUGGGGCCACCCUGGCCUGGCGCUGCCUGUCAGCUGCAAGGGAACUGCGUCACCUGUGGAACCCAGGUCCUCGGGGCAGGAGGAGCACGUUCCCACAUCUCUCCCCUGGACUCUGGGAAGUCCAUGUUCCUCCUGACCACAAAAACGCUCAGGACAGUGGCAGGCACUCACGGAGGGCAGGAGUGGGCGGUCCAUCUGUCCUAAGACCCCCCUGCUGGGUGGCGGCCCCCAGGUCUGGACCCUGGAGGUUCCUGGACAGAGAGCUGUUGCCGUGGCGUGCAGCACCCUGGGCGCAGACGGUCCUGAGCACUAACAGCGAGUCCUGCUUUCCGAUGAACUGUCCACCACCGUCCAUCAUUCCCCCCGUUUCCCCAAUUCUGGCGGUUCCUGGGAGGCGCUGCUGGAGCUCAUCACUGUCUCAUGGGCUAGGACACCGUGGUGGGGCCAACCAGCAGACUGGAGCCUUCGAGUCCAGCUCAGCCACCUGUCACCCGGGCAAACUGUCCUCAACUGCAAUGACACAAAUGGGGUGACCAAGGAGGGAGCAGGGCUGGGGCAGGGCUCCCCAGCUAAGGGUGCCUGAGAGGAGUAAGACUAUGCAGAGGUCCUGACUCAGGGUGGGGUCACGUCCAGUAAGCUCCAUGCAAUUUGAAGAUGCCUCAGAUACACCUGACCUGCCGCACCACCAGCUCAGCAGCUCGGCCCAGCGCAGAGGGGCGCGGGUUCCCCAGCCAUGGUGAGGCUGACAGGAGGCGCCGCAGGAGCAGAUGGGAGGGUGGACUGCUGGCCAGGGGAAGACGCAAACUGAACACACAUCACCUUUGCAAGAUUACAGAGUCAAAAAACUACAAGUCAAGCCACGGUGAAUCAGGGCGCCUUUGCACGUGUACGUGAGAGGCAGCCACUGCCUCCUGAGCAUCUACACUGCACCAGGUCCCCGGAGCUGCUCGCGGGUCGGCAUCCCAACCACAGGUGACCCAGCAUGGGAGACACUCAGAGCAACUCUCUCCAAACGGCAAGAGCAUCUUCAGGAAUAGUCACGUAAUAACCCUUAUUCCCUUAAUUUAGGAGUUUGUAAUCGAUGUCGAUGUUAAAGGUAUUGUACAAAUCCAGGAAAAUCCCUGACAAUGAGCACCGAAUUUUUUCUUUACUAAAAAUAAAUAAAACAAAAUAAUCACGCCUUGGGAUCAGCACGUGCGGCCGCCUCCCACGUCAAACACGGAUGAGAGCCCAGGGCUUCGCAGGUGGCUGGUGCUGAAG